rnacentral:tRNA from 1 species
GGAUUGUGGCUCAGUGGUAGAGCACUCAUCUAGCAUGUGCGAGGCCCUGGGUUCGAUCCUCAGUACCA